rnacentral:lncRNA from 1 species
AGCACGGGCCUUGAAGAGAGACAGAGUGGCUGCCACACGUCAGAUUCCUAGAGGCGCCUGGGCCGGGGGCGGCCACAUCAAAGGCCCCCGAGGAGCCACUCCAGUCCCAGUCGGACCAUAGAGAUGCAGCUCCCGCCAGCCCACGGGUAGGAGGUGAGAGAGCGGCUGUCGGCGGGAACCAGGGGAAGUGCGGGCGCUGUGAGCUGAAGGACCAGAACCGUGACGAUGCAUCAUCCCAAGCCUUGCAGGUUCCAAAACGCCUUUCUCCUCCGCUGUAUCUCGUGACUUGGCUGUCGCCCCACAGUGUAAAAGCUGUCGUCGCCGCCGCCUCCACUUUACAGACAG